rnacentral:piRNA from 1 species
UGCACUCUUCAUCCUGAUAUUUGUGAUGCCU